CCUACGGGAGGCAGCAGUGGGGAAUUUUCCGCAAUGGGCGAAAGCCUGACGGAGCAACGCCGCGUGAGGGAUGAGGGCCUCUGGGCUGUAAACCUCUUUUAUCAAGGAAGAAGAUCUGACGGUACUUGAUGAAUAAGCCACGGCUAAUUCCGUGCCAGCAGCCGCGGUAAUACGGGAGUGGCAAGCGUUAUCCGGAAUUAUUGGGCGUAAAGCGUCCGCAGGCGGUCUUGUAAGUCUGUCGUUAAAGCGUGGAGCUUAACUCCAUUUCGGCGGUGGAAACUACAAGACUAGAGUGUGGUAGGGGCAGAGGGAAUUCCCGGUGUAGCGGUGAAAUGCGUAGAUAUCGGGAAGAACACCAGUGGCGAAGGCGCGUCUGCUGGGCCAUAACUGACGCUCAUGGACGAAAGCUAGGGGAGCGAAAGGGAUUAGAUACCCCUGUAGUCCUAGCCGUAAGCGAUGAACACUAGGUGUCGGGGGAAUCGACCCCCUCGGUGUCGUAGCUAACGCGUUAAGUGUUCCGCCUGGGGAGUACGGCACGCAAGUGUGAACUUAAAGGAAUUGACGG
rnacentral:rRNA from 1 species